UCGGUCUUAACAUAAUGUUUUAAGCGACUAACUUAGGUAAACUCUUUUAUCUUGUUAUGUAGGAUGGUGCACUCCUCCGCUAUAUGCCCUAUAUUCUUGUGAUAUAGACAAUGCUUAUUGUCAUCAACAUUUUAAGGAGUAGGCUUCUUUCAAGGAGGGGGCAUCAACUCGACACGUAGAGCUUCUUCGAUGAUUCUUGCUCAGGUUGCAUUGAGAGGAGUAUAUUGGUGAACAC
rnacentral:lncRNA from 1 species